rnacentral:rRNA from 1 species
CACUCCUACGGGAGGCAGCAGUAGGGAAUCUUCGGCAAUGGGGGCAACCCUGACCGAGCAACGCCGCGUGAGUGAAGAAGGUUUUCGGAUCGUAAAGCUCUGUUGUAAGUCAAGAACGAGUGUGAGAGUGGAAAGUUCACACUGUGACGGUAGCUUACCAGAAAGGGACGGCUAACUACGUGCCAGCAGCCGCGGUAAUACGUAGGUCCCGAGCGUUGUCCGGAUUUAUUGGGCGUAAAGCGAGCGCAGGCGGUUUGAUAAGUCUGAAGUUAAAGGCUGUGGCUCAACCAUAGUUCGCUUUGGAAACUGUCAAACUUGAGUGCAGAAGGGGAGAGUGGAAUUCCAUGUGUAGCGGUGAAAUGCGUAGAUAUAUGGAGGAACACCGGUGGCGAAAGCGGCUCUCUGGUCUGUAACUGACGCUGAGGCUCGAAAGCGUGGGGAGCGAACAGGAUUAGAUACCCGAGUAGUCCCAUGA